GGGGCUGUAGCUCGGUGGCAGAGUGCGUGCUUCGUGUGCACACGAUCCUGGGUUCAACCCCCAGCGCCUCCU
rnacentral:tRNA from 1 species